UCACUUUAAAUCAACGCUCCGGACCCUUAUAUUGGUGCUGCUGGCUUGCCAGCUAUGACGAUAAACGCGCGUGUAAUAACCGGACUGGACCCGGGUGCAAUUCCCGGCGGCUCCACCAAUUUCCCCGGCAAUCAUUCCCGCCGGACUUACGGGGCCGAUCAGGAUCGACAGACGGCUAAAGACGUAGCUUUCGUCCGCAUGGGUACCGUUAAAUGCCCAUUAUUGUAGUUGCGAAUGACAACUAUGCUGAAGAGGUCGCUCUCGCUGCGUAAUGCGGCGCGAUGACUUCGCUUUAAGUCCCCGGUUCUAGCAAACCGUGGCGGGGUUCGGCGGGCGCCUGGCAACAGAAGCCCGCCACU
rnacentral:tmRNA from 1 species